GGACCUGGACCCAGCUGUGUGUCCAUGAAGAGUGACCAGUCUAUAGAUCGUAUUUUUAACUUCAAGGAUGGACAAAAACAUGGUGAACUGAUGUAAGAAUUUCACACAUAGUAACACACACUUACAUGAUCCUCCACCAGGGGGAGCCUGUCUAGUCCAAAACAUGUUGAAUCCAGAAAAACACUCUUCUUCUCUUUGGUGGACCAAUGUUGUUUUUCUGUCUCCACUAAACGUCUUCAGCCUGUCCUCGUCUCUGAAUACGUUUCCAGCAGUAAAUCUAGUCAGAGUCCGUGAUUGGUCAGGGACUCAUGGACAAGCCUCUCUGAUUGUGUCUUUGAGACUUCACACAUAACAAACACUAGAGACUGUCCUUCGGGGACUUUUGUCUUCAACCUGUCAAACUCAUGUCAUGUGAACUUGGCUGAAGAAGAAUCAGUUGAUCAGCAGAGGACAGAGGUUCUCAGUGGUCAGUCUGUCCAGCAGCAUGGAGCAGACCUGGACUCCAUAUUUAAGCUGCUGGAGGAGAACAUCAUCUGCUUUGUGAAGAACGAGCUGAAGAAGAUCCACAAGGUUCUGGAUACAGAUCACACAGAAGUCUCAGAGAGUCAGAGGGAGGAUGAGGAGCAGAGGAGCAGCAGAGAGGCCUUUCUGAAGAUCACAGAGGACUUCUUAAGGAGGAUG